AUGGCUGAGGAUAGUGUGUGUGAGAUCUGCGGGAGAGGGAAUGAGGAUGAGCACCACACCGUUAUCGCAUGUACCAGAAGUUCAGCCCUACGGCAAGAAAUGAGAUCCUACUGGCAGCUGCCAAAGGAAUCUGUCCUCACAUACACAAGAGAGGACUGGUUACAGCUGUUGCUACUAUCUCAGGGAGAAGAAACUAGGACCAAGCUAAUGCUAAUUCUGUGGCAAGCUUGGAGCCUUAGAAACAAUGCGAUUCACGGUGACAGGAAGGAUACG
rnacentral:rRNA from 1 species